UUGUUUUUGUUUUUUUUGGUCAACGGUUUUUCAACUCUUAACAGCAAACUUCAACAGGAAGUGACAAAUGGACACCUUGAAGCAAGCACACUUGGCCUCUCGUUUGGAGGACAAUGCAGGGUUGGACUCACCGACGGCGUGGGCAAGCAGGCCCGGCGGAUGGCCUCGGAACUGGAGUGCAGCGGCGUGUACUUGGGUUCGUGCAGGAUGGGGUGCAUGCUGAACGGCUGCUUGCUGUUCAUCGACAUCAUGAUGACGCAGGCGAGGGCCAGCGACGCAGAGAUCCGUCGUCCUCUUUGCGCAAGUUUGGAAGCAGCGGCCCGCAAAAAGGAGCAGCGCGGCGCGGCGUAACCCGAGCGAGGUGCCCAUUGUCCCCGAUGUGUGCGGCCCCUCUCCAGAGGGUCCCCGGGACCCGCUCAUCAAAUAUGCAUCAGCCGCCAUCCUCUGGGACCGGAGCAGGCAGGCAGGCAGGCAGGCGGGCAGGCGGGGGACGCUCCUGCGGGAAGGCGACACCGGCGUGGCGUCCAGCUGUGGCGAGGCUGAGAGCAAGCGAGGUCAGUCAGUGGGUGCGACUGCGCGAGG